UGCGUAGGCGGAAUAAUAAGUCAGCGAUGAAAUACUGCAGCUUAACUGUAGAACUGUCAUUGAUACUAUUAUUCUUGAGUAUAGUUGAGGUGGGCGGAAUGUAUAAUGUAGCGGUGAAAUGCUUAGAUAUUAUACAGAACACCUAUUGCGAAGGCAGCUCACUAAACUAUAACUGACGCUGAUGCACGAAAGCGUGGGGAGCGAACAGGAUUAGAUACCCUGGUAGUCC
rnacentral:rRNA from 1 species